AGUGGCCCCCAUUGAAGUGGGAGCUGCUUCCACAUAGCCGCUGUGGUCAGAAAGGAGCCCAGAGUAACUUGUUCCUUGACGGUAGCGGUCCUGUUUGCUAUAACAGUUCUGCAACGUUUUGGGGAAAGACAGGU